CUUUGCCUGAAAGCUGUGAAGGGUAAUAAAAAUCAGAAAUAAAUAACUAUUUCAGUAAAUAAAUAGGGAUAGGGAAGUAAUAUCAAAAGCUAGAAAGUUAGAAUGUGGGAAACCUGAUGAUGAAAGUUAGGUAGAGGUAAAAACCUUUGCUUUUGAUGCUAAAUGUUUUGCUGAUGAUUUCAUUUUAGCUGAAAUGUUUGGGUAGGUUAAAACAUAGGCUCUGAGGGAUAUUUAAGGUACAGUGUAUGUUUAUCUUGUUAUAGGCUAUGUAGAGAAAUUGUACAGUUGAUGUCAGCCUGGUUUCUGGCCAUUUGUCGGGUACUCUGUAUAUUUGUCUCUGUAUAGCUUAGUAUUGCUUUGCUUUCUUGGUCAUCAUUGUGUAAUCAUGCCCUGAGUGGAAUAGCAGCUUCAGUGGUUCAGUGAAUUUAGUGUGUUUUUUUUUGUUUGUUUGUUUUGUUUGUUUUGGUUUUGUUGUGUUUGUUUUUUUCCUAUUGUAUUAAAUUACCAAACUUCAUGCUUGUAUUUAUUUACUUUGUUGCUAAUGUUGAUCAAGUAUAAGAAGGCAAACAGUUUAUAAUGGAAAUCUCCUCUUUCUGUCUUUGUAGUUACCAUGUCCAGCUGAUGCAAAUUCUCUCUAAAUUGGUAUAAAUGGGAUUCCCUUAUAACAUAUGCAAGCAAAUCCUGCCCUCACCAUCAGUAUUUAGCAGCAAAAUGAGCACCUGUAAAGCCAGUGACACCAACGUAGGGAAGAAUUUCUAUUGCCUCUAGUUCAUCUUAAUAUGAUCAUCGAAGCAUCGCUUUUUAUUUUACUAUGUAUGUAUACUUACAAAAACAGAUGAACUCUCAGAUAAUAUGGUCCAACUCUACAGAGAGUGCUUUGGAGAUUCAAAUUAAAGACAAAAUGGACAGUACCAAUAAUUAUUUUUACAUAAGGAUUCUGAAAAAGUUUCUUUUCCUGCAAUGA
rnacentral:lncRNA from 1 species